rnacentral:rRNA from 1 species
UACGUAGGGUGCAAGCGUUGUCCGGAAUUAUUGGGCGUAAAGAGCUUGUAGGCGGUUUGUCGCGUCUGCUGUGAAAUUUCGGGGCUCAACCCCGAACUUGCAGUGGGUACGGGCAGACUAGAGUGUGGUAGGGGAGACUGGAAUUCCUGGUGUAGCGGUGAAAUGCGCAGAUAUCAGGAGGAACACCGGUGGCGAAGGCGGGUCUCUGGGCCGAUACUGACGCUGAGGAGCGAAAGCUAGGGGAGCAAACGGG